AGCAACAACAACUACGCCAACUCCACCAGACUCAGUUCCAACUACAGAGUAUUUUGUCACAGGUAUGGUCACACUUUCCAUAUUUGAUCCUAUAAAUAAAGUAACAGCACUUUGCUCAUAACAAAUUAUUUGAAGCUCAAGUAUGUUGCUUUUCCCUGAUUCUUGCACUUAUGCAUGUACAAAUACAUUGUUACAAGCAACAUGUUCCGUCUCAGAAACGCCAACUUCAACGACAACAGCAACAACAACUACGCCAACUCCAGCUACAGGAACCUCAGUUACAACUACAGAUUAUUUUGUCAAAGAAACGCCAACUUCAACAACAGCAGCAACAACAACUACGCCAACUCCACCAGACUCAGUUCCAACUACAGAGUCUUUUGUCACAGGUAUGGUCACACUUUCCAUAUUUGAUCCUAUGAAUGAAGUAACAGCACUUUGCUCAUAACAAAUUACUUGUCCUUCAAGUAUGUCGCUUUUCCCUGAUUCUUGCACUUAUGCAUGUACAAAUACAUAGUUACAAGUAACAUGUUCCUUCUCAGAAAGGCCAACUUCAAUGACAGCAGCAACAACCACUACGCCAGCUCCAGCUACAGGAACCUCAGUUACAACUACAGAUUAUUUUGUCACAGGUAUAGUCAAACUUUCCAUAUUUGAUCCUUUGAUAAAAUUAACAGCAAUUUGCUCUUUACAAAUGUCUUUUUGCCCAAGUAUGUCGCUUUUCCCUGAUUGUUGCGGUAAUGCAUAGUUACAAGAAACAUUUUCCGUCUCAGUAACACCAACUUCAACGACAGCAGCAACAACAACUAUGCCAUCUCCAGCUACAGCAUCCUCAAUUCCAACUACAGAUUAUUUUGUCCAAGGUACGGUCACAAUUUCCAAUAUUGAUCCUGUGAUAAAAGUAACGGCACUUUUCUCAUAACAAAUAACUUGUCGCUCAAGUAUGUCGCUUUUCCCUGAUUUUUGAGCUCAUGCAUGUAGAAAUACAUGGUUACGAGUAACAUGUUCCUUCUCAGAAACGCCAACUUCAACGACAGCAGCAACAACCACUACGCCUACUCCAGCUACAGUAUCCUCGGUUCCAACUACAGAUUAUUUGGUCACAGGUAUGGUCAAACUUUCCAUAUUUUAUCCCAUGAUAAAAGUAACAACACUUUGUUCAUAACAAAAAACUUGUCGCUUAAGUAUGUCGCUUUUCCCUGAUUCUUGCGGUUAUGCAUUUACAAAUACAUAGUUACAAGUAACAUGUUCCUUCUCAGAAACGCAAAUCCCAACAGCAACUCCAAUGACAGCAACAAAAACGACUACGCCAGCUCCAGCUACAACACCCCCAGUUCCAACUACAGAUUAUUUUGUCCAAGGUAUGGUCACACUUUCCAUAUUUGAUCCUAUGGUAAAAGUAACAGAACUUUGCUCACAACAAAUAACUUGUCGCUCAAGUAUGUUGCUU
rnacentral:lncRNA from 1 species